rnacentral:tRNA from 1 species
GGAGAGAUGGCUGAGUGGACUAAAGCGGCGGA